rnacentral:rRNA from 1 species
GACGAACGCUGGCGGCGUGCCUAAUACAUGCAAGUAGGACGCAGUUGCGAACGGGUGAGUAACGCGUAGGUAACUUCCUAUUAGCGGGGGAUAACUAUUGGAAACGAUAGCUACUACCGCAUACUCGUAGAUGGACCUGCGUUGUAUUAGCUCUGAGGUAGGGUAAUGGCCUCACUAGGCGACGAUACAUAGCCGAACUGAGAGGGUGAUCGGCCACACUGGGACUGAGACACGGCCCAGACUCCUACGGGAGGCAGCAGUAGGGAAUCUUCGGCAAUGGGGGGAACCCUGACCGAGCAACGCCGCGUGAGUGAAGAAGUUUUUCGGAUCGUAAAGCUCUGUUGUUAAGGAAGCGGUACUUAACCAGAAAGGGACGGCUAACUACGUGCCAGCAGCCGCGGUAAUUC